ACUGGUGAAAGAAUAUGAUUUAGUAAGAAAAAUAGUUGAUCGAGUUAAUUAUUUUCAUAUCUUUUAUAAUUUAAAUCUUAGUUAAAUUAUAUCAAGUCUAAAAUAUUUAAUAGCCAUGUGCAUCUCAAGUGCAUAAUUUCUAGUUCUUAAAAAUGUCUUGAAUUAGUCAUGAGCAAUUAAUAAACAAACAGUAAAGUCUGAGAAGAAAUCAUGAAUGCUUGAAUGGCUGUU
rnacentral:lncRNA from 1 species